AACGAACGCUGGCGGCAUGCCUAAUACAUGCAAGUCGAACGAGAAGUUCGGGACUAGUGGCGCACGGGUGUGUAACGCGUGGGAACAUGAACUUAGGUUUGGAAUAACUCUAAGAAAGGGGUGCCAAUACCGGACAAUGUCUUAGACCCAAUCAUUUAUUGACCUUGGAUGGGCCAGCGUUGGAUUAGCUAGUUGGUAGGGUAAAAGGCUAACAAGGCGACGAUUAAUAGCUUGUCUGUGAGGAUGAUCAGCAACACUGAGACUGAGACACGGCCCAGACUCCUACGGAAAGCAGCAGUGGGUGAUAGUGGACCGUCGACGAAGUCCUGAUCCAGCAAUGCCGCGUAAGUUAUGAAGUCCUUAGGGUUGUAAAGCUCUUGUACCCGUGAAGAUAAUGACGGUACCUAAUGAAUAAGCUCCGGCUAACUCCGUG
rnacentral:rRNA from 1 species